GGCUGCUGAUUUAUUGGCCAGCCCAGUGUAUGGCUGGCAAGUUUCUCCUCAGACUCGGUUUCCACCCCCUAUCUGGUAAAAUAUAGAGGAUUUUUAUAACUAUGAACACCUCCUCCUCUAGACUAAACCUCUAGAGAACCAUUGUACAAACUGGGUGGAAGCAGAAAAGAGGCUGUCUGAGGAGAGGGGGCCUCUGAGACGAUAUCUCAGCUCUGUUAGUCAUUAAUCAUCAUCAUCAUCAUCACCAUCAUCAUCAUCAUCAUCGUGUUUGAGACAUGGUCUCAGUCCAGUCCAGACAGACCUCCAUCUGACUACUCUCCUGAAUGCCUAAGGCCCAGCAUAUACCACUACCUUCCGGGCUCUCAUUCUGUAAGAGAUGAAGAAUGAUGUGUGGUGAGACAUCCCUCACUGGAUAGAUGGAGGCUAGAGGCUCACAGGCAAAGGUCAUCUGUGGUUGCAGAUGUCUGUCCCUCAGCAGGAUUCACUCAGAUGUCCUCAAAGAUCCUCCAGACUAGGAAGAGGAUAAAGCUGAAACCAGAAGAAAGAGUUGCUAAUAGCCCAUGGAUGGACUAAUCCUUUAACCCUGGAGUCAUUCUGGGAGUGGAGAGCUGGGCAAAAUAAAGCAAAUAAUAAAAUACAGGAGGGCCCCUGGCCCGGGGCGGUGGGGGUGAUGGGGGUUGGAGUCAUUCGCCUGUCAGGACCUAUAUCAACAUGUCAGCCGCUUGGACAAACAAGCGUUUUGAGGGGAAAUAUUUCAGAUAAACAGACACGAUGUUAUGACAUAUCACCCCCCCCACCCCGCUCCCAACCCUGGAAAAGGGGGUCCUCGGAGACCAAGGAGAAGAAGAAGGGAAGCAACGCCAUGCGGAGAUCUGUUUUCCCUGGCUUGAGGCCCCGAGGGUCAGCUGUAAAUAAAAUAGGUUUUUGAUU
rnacentral:lncRNA from 1 species